GACGAACGCUGGCGGCGUGUUAACACAUGCAAGUCGAACGGAAAGGCCCUGCUUUUGUGGGGUGCUCGAGUGGCGAACGAGUGAGUAACACGUGAGUAACCUGCCCUUGACUUUGGGAUAACUUCAGGAAACUGGGGCUAAUACCGGAUAGGAGCUCCUGCUGCAUGGUGGGGGUUGGAAAGUUUCGGCGGUUGGGGAUGGACUCGCGGCUUAUCAGCUUGUUGGUGGGGUAGUGGCUUACCAAGGCUUUGACGGGUAGCCGGCCUGAGAGGGUGACCGGCCACAUUGGGACUGAGAUACGGCCCAGACUCCUACGGGAGGCAGCAGUGGGGAAUAUUGCACAAUGGGCGGAAGCCUGAUGCAGCAACGCCGCGUGCGGGAUGACGGCCUUCGGGUUGUAAACCGCUUUCGCCUGUGACGAAGCGUGAGUGACGGUAAUGGGUAAAGAAGCACCGGCUAACUACGUG
rnacentral:rRNA from 1 species